AUUGGGGGUCACUACAACACGAGGAACUGAAACAAAGAGUUGCAGCAUUACGAUGGUUGAGAACCACUGGGCCCAAGAUGCACACCGUCUCUCCUUUCCUUGCUUAGAUUCUCAAGGAAACGAUGCCUUAGGUUCAAGUUGCAGAGGACUUUGAGAGACAACAGAAGGGGGAAGAUGCUGUGUACAUCAGAAUGCACUGUACCAAUGUGGGGAAUUGCCAAAGAGCAAAACUGGUAGAAAUUCACACACACACACACAAAAGUCUUGCCAGAAAUGACACAUAAUUAGAUAUCAUUUCAAAAUAUUUGUAUGCCUGCAUUAAUAUUUACCAUUUUUGUUAUUUUCCCUUCUACUUUUCUUUGCACGUUUGCUGUUCUAUCCAAUAGCUCCUGGCUUAUUUACCAGGAAGUUCUGAUAGUCAAGGCAGCUUGAGACUUCAGCUAAAUAACAGUAUUUUAAGCAGCAUAUAUGCAAAGAAGUACUUUGUUCCUUUUUUGUUACUUUCUAGUUUUCACUUAUUUCUGUGUUUCCAUUCUUCUUCUAAUAUAUAUAUUAGUGUAUAUAUAUAUCUUAUCCUAGGAGGAUUCUAGCGAGCAGCAGCCUUAUUUUCUAGCCUUAGUCUUCCGUAUCAGUUAUAGAUCCUCCAUGAAAUCCUUCCCGUAAUUACUAGCAACCAGAGAAAGGCAACUUCUCCAAAGGUCCCUGUCCUGGUGGCUGACAGGAGUCCCAAGGUAGCAGUGAUGGGGUGUGGCUCUGUUAGCAAAAAGCACUAAAUGCUGUCACUUAAAUUAUUAAUGUGACAUGCAGGUCAAGCAUGCAGACUCUCGCCCUGUCUCCCCCGUUCUCUUGCUCUUGCGAGAGAGAGCUGUGGUAAUCUUACACAGAUGCAUUCGCUCACACUUGGUUGGAGUUGAAAACAUGAUCAAGUUGUCACUGGACUGUGUUGGAGAAUGAGGGUCUUAGGUUGCACACUUUUUGCUCAUAUGUGCACAUACUCAUAUGUGCCAAACAUGGCUGUGUGCAGAACGGUCAUAGAAAAAUGGUUCUGAACAGUCAUGCCAACCAGCUUGUUGAGACUGUCACUUUCAACUGCCACAGCCCUGUGAAGCAUUCCCCUGUUUUGCAGAUGGGAAAACAGAAAUUUCUAAAAGUUGAACAAAUUAGCCAAUGCCAACAGCACCAAACAGUAUCUACCUUGUUCUCCACCGUGGGAUAUACUAUCUAAACUAGGUCGUUCCUGAGAACCACUGUCCUUUCACUGGAUCAUGGCUGUAAACCAGUGUUUUCCUGUGAAAAUGAAGUAUAUGGUCACCCUCAUUGUAAACCCAUUCAGUAGGAGCUUUCAACCACAGAGAUGCCACUGAGGACUCUGGAGGGUCUUGCCAAGAUUCUUUGCCCAAAGGCUGCAAAGCCCUCAUUUCUGAGCCAGAUCAGUAGUCACAAGAAGAAGUCAUAAAUAUGUAUACAGUUGUCAGUCUCUGUGGACCUGGCCCGUCUGUGUCCCGAUUCCCUCUGCUUGUGUUGAUUUGUUCAUGUCCAUUUUGAACUUGCCUUAACUUGGAUGUGUUUGGUGUCUACCAGAACAUGAAGAUAAGAAAAGACAUGCUGUGUGCCUCAAGGAAUUUCUAGCACAGUGUGAUGACCAAAGGCAUUAAUUAAAGAAGAGGAUGGCCAGAGCUUUAAGGAGGCUUGAGUGUGCCCAUGUCAUGGGCCUGUGACUGGAGGGCUCUCUCGGGGCCAACAGCAUGAUGGAUGUUUAUAAGGAGAAUUGCCGUGAAGGGCGGACAGCAGGCGGGUGGGUAAACAUUAGCUAGCAAUCGCAGUGUCCAAGAGAGAAAUGAUGAUAGUGGUAGUGAAAGUGGGGAGGAACAAGCAGAUCGCGUUAAGACAGUGAGGGGCUGGCGAGUGCGCAUGACUAGAAUGACCGGAUCCGGAUAAGACUGUGAGGGGCAAGUGCGCAUGACUCCAUUGGUGAUGGCGCAGACCAGGGUAGAAGAAGCAGCUUCAUCUCCCAGUUUCUGUUCCUGGGUGUAAGCAACCACUCAUCCCUGUGAUGGAGGGACAAGCAAGACCUGAGACUGCAGCAAAGAGCUGAGAGAGCUAACAGGAAGAGAGAAGGCUUGCCUUCAACCACAGUUGGAAAGUUCUAGUCCAUGAUUAGAUGUACCCAUUGGGGAUGGGCAGAACAUCCAGACACGAGCACGUGAUAUUUCAUGAAGUCAUGGCAAGGAGUAAAAGAAAUGAAGGAAUUGGGGGUCUACACCCCACUUCAAGAGAGUACAGCCUCCACAACUUGGAGAACCAUCAUGAGCUCCUGACGUCUGAAGGAUCAUGGCUGCCCCAUAGCACUGGGGAUGAAAGCAGUACCUGUCUGACUUACUGAGUGGGUGGAUGAGGGAAAGGCUAUGAUGUAAUGACUGCCUGGAAACCAAGCAUCUCUUGGGUCUUUUAUGUAUCGAGUAUCUGUUUAUCUUUAAGACUGCAAUCAUUAAACAAACAAACACAACCGUGUUGGUAGAGCUAUGUUCUUACAUGCCUUUUGCACCUGACAGCUCAUCCUCUUGAGAUUUCAGUCGUAUCUACUUGCUGGAUCCAAUAGGGUAGCUGGACUUGUGCCUGCUUUAGGGGCUUCUAGUUCUACUACUCCUCUACUCUUAACCCUUCCAAGACCCCAACAUUAGGUAGGAGAGAAAGAAGACUACAGGGGGAAGGGAGCAUCAAUAUUUUUAGACUGCUUCCUGCUAAUUAAGGCCACUGAAUUCCUCGAGGCAAUUUUAAUCUUUGUCCUCAGGAUAUCUCCAACCAGCAACAGCAUCAGGAGGAAGAGCCGCAGUGGACAUGCCGCUCCUGGGGCUCUUGCGUUUAUAGACCCUCACAAGAGACCACAGAAUUCCAAACACUGUUCAUCUGCCAAAACUAUCUGCAGCUGGCAAAAUCACACGCCGGCCACAGCACGGGUCAAGUCAUAGUCUGCUGCUGUGGACCAUCUGAAGCAGCCCCAUACCCCAACACCUGGGGUUAAAACAAAACAAAACAAAACAAAACAAAACAAACAAACAGAAAACAUAUCCCCAUAGCGUUGCUAUGUUUUCAAAGAGACCAACAUUCUCACUGACAAGGGCUCCUAGGUAGACAGCUUUGCUGAAUUUUUUCAAGCUGCAUGACCAUCGCAGCCCUGUGAUUUACCAAGCUGCCUCUCCCCUGUGAUGACACUUGCCAUCCUUGGUUUCCUUUCCUGAGACCUCUACCGGCUGUAAAGCUCAGAGGUGCUCGUGAUGGACGAGACAAGGAAGAGAGUUAAGAAAAACAGAGGGUUCUCCCUUCCCACCAGCCCUCAGGAAGGACGUGGCAGAAUGGGCUAAACAGAGCUCUUAAGUUAUGAAAGCCACAAUUAUAUAUGCAUGUAAUUUUUAGCACAGAGAUUUAUUAAUUUGCAUUCAGAUCAUUAGAGCCAAUUAGCAGCUUCAGCUUCUGCAGUUAUGCGCAAAGCCUUUUACCCUUUACUUCCCUUGUCAAAUCUUUACAGACUUGGGCUGAAAAAUGACCUCUGAUGUGUAAGGAGAGGCAGUUCUGCUCAGAUUGUCCCCUCUCCCCUCCGCUAUACACAGUUUUGCCUGGGUUUUCUUCUUUCCCUCUCUGUUAUAAGGCCUCUCUCCUGUUGUGGGGUCUUUCCCUGAAGGGGCCUUUUCUUUAAAUGAACGUUCUCAUUUGUGAGAUACCUCAAAGCUAUCAUUCUACAGGAAUGGAUACACAAAGGGAAAGAAAAGUUCUCCCCCCUGUUGCAUGUAGUUUUUGCUCUACCCACCUUUGCUCCGGGAAGUGACUGUGCUACCAGACCCCUCCCAGCUUCCCUUGAAUCUGAGGAUAAAAGACAUACAGUUAUUCCUAUUCAAUUUGUCUUUUUGGCACAAUUGCUGGCGCUCCUAUGGCCCUCCUGGAAAAGCAUACACUUAUCAAUUUCUUAUCUCCGUCUUUCCCACUUGCCCUAAACUUCAGUUGAUAAACUCCCCUGACCACCCGCUUUUAGGACCGGCCUGUGUGGCCACUCCAUUUUGAGAUCUCACAUGGUUGCCUGAUUCUCCUUCCUCCUAGACAUGUAGAACUCCUUCCUUCCGUCUUUUCAUCUCCUGCCUUUUCCUCCAGGGACUGGGAAGUCUCACCUGACCCUUCUGCCCAGCGAUUGGCCCGUGGCUUUCUUUACUGCCAGAUCAAGAACCAAUUGGGGAACAGGACCUUAGCAACAGACCCACCUCCUGCCCUCCCCUCCCCGACUCCCACACUGCCUUUAGUUCUCUUUUUCCUCUUUAUCUGAGUGAGAUACCCACUAUCUGAAGGAAAACAACAGAAAUUCUGUCCCUAGUGAGAAUUCAACUAGAGUUCUCUACUUCAGUACUGACUCGGAAGGGGUGUUUAUAGAGAAUGCAUGUGUUGUUAACAUGUGAAACAUUUGCAAGGGUCUAGUUAGUAAAGGUUUGAGUAUUCAACAGUGCAGGCCACUUCAUCAGUGCAGUCUUUGGGGAUUCAUUUGGCCAGGCUGUGGCUCAUACUGACGGUACAUAUUCUUGUGUGACCACUGUUCAUUCUCCAUAGCCAGUGUUUUCUUCCUUUUGUUUUUAUUGUGUCCCAGUCCCGGUGUAAAUUCUCUGAGUGGAAAGCAAUGUAAUCUGUGUUAUGUAAUAUCUGGCAUCGAAUCCAUAUAUAUCAUUUAAAAAAUAAGCCAAAGACUCCAUCCUGUCUACCUUGGCUCUCCUCACUCUCUGGAUGAUUUUUUCCCAAUGUCACUGACUGCAUACUCAAAUGGAGUACCCGGCUGCAAUGCUGCCCGUGAGAGUGUUGACCAAUGAGCUCAAGGCCAACACUUAACCUUCCUCGCGCUAUCGGUUUUGUCAAGAUGUAUUUCUUCCUAAGUCUCUAUUAAUCUCAUGGCUACCCAUUUAACUAGGGCUAUUUCUGACGGUCUGCCCUACAGCUUUCACCUACCCUCAUCUCCUUUCCCUCAGCAGUUCUUACUGUAUGUAAUCCUCACAAGUAUGAGUUCGCAGACACUACUUGCUCUCUUCUCUACCCCUUAGAGCCUUCCCUAAUUACAGUCCUCCUUAAAUCCUCACUUCCAUUUUACUGCUGUCCUUUCUGAAUUCUAUCGAAAACUCUGCCUUAUUUCAGACUACGUCUUCUCUGCUCUGUCAUCUAGCUGCUGCCCUGUCCUGUGAUCUCCUCCAUAUGGGAAAAAACGGCUUCUCUUCUAGUGGGUCUUGGUAGAAACGUCACAAACAGUGCCUCUCCUGAAUGCCUCAGUCUUCGCUUAGCUGGCUUUCUUCUCUUUCACUCUAGAGUUGGUAUUGACGUCUGGAUCCUGCAUGUGCCUUCACGAGGCUCACAUGGGCUCUGUGCAUCCCUCCACAAGAGCAUUAGUCGGCUUCUGCUUCUGAGGCCUGCAAACCCUGCUUCCAUGCUCUUAUAUUGAUAAUAGAGUAAUAAGCUUGGUAAUAAGCUUCAAGCAAUGUACACUUAGCAUUGAACCAUGAAGAAAUGUGUGUGACUGAACGGAUCUUAGAGCUGGUGGCCAUUCACGCCAUUCUGCUGUGCCCUGAUCUGACGUUUACGACCACUGGUGUCUGUCCACUCUCACAAUUCUCACCUUUCAGCACAAGUUUUUACUCCUUAUUUCUACAGGAGCACUGGUAGUGUGCAGGAUGAUUUUGAAUGCAGGAUUUUGAGCCUAGAUGCUUAGGUGUGGAGCGUCUUUGGCAUGGAUUGAUAUCUGUGCUUCGUUGUUCACGAAUUGGCAACAAAAUCACAGCACCCUCUUCAUACAAAUAUUUAGCAAUACUAUCUUUAAUGGCAUUUAAUGGCAUUUUAUGACCAAUAUAAUAAACAUAAAGAUUUUAAAAACCAAUAUAACAUCUUGACAAAUACAAAACAAAAUAACAAUAAAGUAAUACACACACCUGCAUCUAUCAUUAUCAAUAUAUGGAAAUCUCAGCAUGACUCUUUCUGAACACAUGAGGGAAGGGUUAAAGUACUUACUUGUGUGCAGGUCAUCACUAAUUACACUAAUAAAGUCAUUUUGCACUGGUAAAGAGUAGAGAUCUAAACUUUAUCGCCCUACUGUUUUUUGAAUGAAAUGCUUCCUCUCUUGAAGAGGCUCCAUUCCCAGAACAGGGCUGCUGUAAUGGUUUCCUCAGUAGCACACAAAUCCUAUAUUAAUCUCUCAGCACUUCUCUGAGUUGAGUGCAUUUUUAUGCUUGGCAGAAUUAGGGUAGUCUAGGAGAAUUAGUUUUCUUUUCUUAUUGCCUUUCCUGUUUAAUUUGUAACCAGUUAAGGCUCCAGACCCACUGUGUGACGGAUGAUUGAUCCAAGUAAAACUGCAAAGGGAAGAGAUAAUUGGCAGGCUUGGUUAAGAAGUGAAGUCCUUCCCACACCUUUCAGAAGCCUCAAAGGCAACCUCGUUAUUAAACCGUCCAUACAAGCAAAAUUCCGCAUGUGUAUGGAAUUUAAUUACCGACUAAGCAGCACGCGAUGCCAGGGUUUCAUUUUGAUGGCGGAUGCGCAGCGUUUGUGAAGUAGCCCAUGUCAUAGCUGAGCCCUCACAGCCACACAGGUGCUUGCACCGGGAUGGAAUUUUAUAGUUAUGAAACUGUAUCCCAGUCACUCAAAGUAGAAAACAUCAGUGCAGGGUAUCCUGCUGCUCAAUAUGACAAGCAGUCAUUCCUGGACAUUUAGCUCAAAUGGAUAUAAUUUGCCAGAGAAAUUAUUUAUUUUCUUAUGAGAGCAAGGCAGCAUGAGAAUCAAUUAUAUCCUAAAGAUGCUGAAAUCAGAUUUUAUAACCAUUUGGAUACUGUCUAUUUUAUUUAUAUUUAUUUAUAUUUUUAUAUUUGUAUUUGUAUUUAUUUCUGUUUCUAUUUAUAGGACAAGACUGGCCGAGUGCUUGAGAUAAUGAAUUAGCAAGAUAGAGUGAUCUAGGAAUUAUACUUUUUCUACCGCUCUUUUAGUCAGUCCCUGUAAUCUUUUACAAAAGCAUACUGAGUGUCGUCUAAUGCAUCUUCUUACCGACCUUGGUGGGGUUCACUUUUGCGACAUCCAGACUAGGUACAGUCACAUAAGACUUGUAGCAAUCUAACAGGACAUAAUUGCCACUCAUUUCAUGCUGCAGAACCUUAGCGGAUACGAAAGACUCAGCAUAGUCCAUGAAUUAAGCAUUCUUGGAUAUGAUGUAUAACAAACCGAAGAUGCUUAAAAUUAGAUGUGCUGAAUAGCCUCUAUGUAAACGUUCUGAGCUAGAGAUUAAGGGGGAAGAGCCACCUCUGGCCAGGAGGAAAGAUGCACAUUCCAUUAAGAAAAGUAGAUCUAUAUCUCCUCCAAGGGUUGGUACUUCCAGAGUCAAAGCUUCCAGGUGAUAAAUCAGAUAGCCAAAUGUUUAAGUUCACCAAAAGCAUGAGUAAUUAAUCCUGAGACGGGUUAAUCUCUACCAGAUCACGUGUUGAGGAGGAGACAUGUCCUUCAAGAACCUUAAGACUUGUUUUUGCUCCAAAGGGAAUCAGGACAGAUUUCUGAGCAUUUUUUGGCAGAGGUGUUACAGCGUGAAGUGAUGCCGGUGGAUUUUUCACUGGCGAAGUCAGCUGUGCCCUCAGUAAGGAUGAUAUAAAUCACCAUGCCAUUAUCAACAACGUCUCCCAGCCAUAAAACUAGAGGAAAUACAUGAGCAUCAUAAAAAGCCUGUGAUCAAGGGACUUUACAUUCGUGACAGUGUUCUGAAGGCAAACACAAGCUUUUAAAAAAGAGAUUGUGAACUGUUUUGCCAAGAAUCAUAGAACCCAGAGACUUAAUCUGGCAGAAUCAUUGAUAGGGUAAAUGACAUUAUAAUGACGAGACAUCAUUAUCGACUACACGAUAAUGCUGGAGCAAAGGCAUUCUCUGUGGGAGCAAUAUUUAUUAGAGAAAAACAUCCCAAAUUCAGAAUACACAUGAUGACAGCGACUACCAUAAUUAUGCAUCUCUCUCUCUCUCUCUUUCUCUCCACAUACACACUGCAUAUAUAUGUAACUGGUUGGUGUCUGGAUUUCUUGUAUUAGAAGAUGCAAUGCUAUGACUUCCUGGAAUGUCUAAGUUUAAACUCAAGCGGAAGAAACAUAAACCAAUACUGGCUGGUUAAGCAGAAAACUCGUUCAUUGAGAAAGGAUUCUGGGCCUAUUUCUGAAUUGUGAAGGGUCCUGGAAACUGUUUCCUCAAGACCCUUGAGACUAGGUUUGAAGUAGCAAGCGUUCUUCUGCCCUGAUACAGGAUCUGCCCUUGAGUAGAAACUGUUCUCCUAGCUGUUCCUGGCCCUUUGAAGCCUCUGCCCACACCAGUGCCAGCAAGAUGGACUCCUCCCACAGCUUGUCCUGUCAGAUGUUCAUUUCCAAACCAGAGAGUCAAUCACCUGUGGCUGCCUGGGAAAACCUACCCCAGGCGCCUGUUUUCCAAUUGCAAAGGAGUUUGGAAGGUGGGGUUUUCCGAAUUCUGCUCUGAUUGAUCUUGCGCUAGAAGGCUGUUAUCUUUCUAGAUGGGAUUAAAAUAACUUGAAAGGAUCUGGGUGGCUUAAAACCACGACAGGUAUGCAUGAAGUGAUUGAGAGAAAACUAGUCUCUUGGCAUAAUAUGUUCUUGACCCGAACGAUAAUGGUGGCAGUAGCUUUGCUGGUGACAUCACCAACCUGAACUAAAUGUUUGUUUUGUGCUAGCAUAUGUUAUAGUUUUUAUUCUUAAAAUACUUUUAACAAUCAUAUAAGGCAAAUAAUGUGAUUAUCUUACUUACUAAUGAAAAAACUGAAGCCCAAACUGUCCACACAGCCAUCAAGGGGGCAGUGCAGGAAUUCAGACUAAGGUGGUCUCACACAGGGUCUCCUUAACUGUUGAUAGAGGCUUUCCUACAUUUCCUGGUGUCUGCUUCCACACUCUGUCUCUGUGGGUAUCAGACAUGCCUGGCUCUCAUGUGUUCAGGAAGAGAAAGGAAAGAUAACCGUGGAGAAAAUUGUCACAGCAUCGACUAGGUCUGUUUGUUUGGGAAAAGAAACAGAAGCGAAUAAGAAAACUACCACAGCGCCUCGUCCUUCGGAGGUGCAUGCUGUAGGUCCCAUGCUGAAGCAAAAGCCACCCACGUCUGGCUAGUAGCAGCUUCCCAACCUGUUGUCUUGUGUAGUCUUACCUCAGUGCUGAGACGAUGGCCAUUGAGAGGUCCAUUUUCCACAUAAAAAGAGCCUCAGAAGGGUGAUGUUUAUAGUCAAGACCACACAGCCUGUAAACAGUAAAUGUGCAGCAUUGCGAGCAAAUCCCGUAUUCUCACGCACUCCUGUUAAGGUGCUCAGCAAAGCACAGCAGUUCAGCCUCAUGGGACAAGACCCCAGGGCAACAGGUCUGCAAGCAUGGAUACUCUGCAGCCUUUGGGACAUGGCUGACUCCUUCUGAAGUGUGGUCUGCAAAGAUGGUGCCCGUGUGGAUUCUGGCCCUAUUUCUGAAUUGUGUUGUGUUGUCGGCCAUGCAUCCAAGAGUCUCUUUUACCCAGGAAUACAGGUUGCCUUUAGCCUAUUGGAACUUCAUCUCCAUCUCUUUAGUUUUCGUAUCCAUGGCUACGUUUAGCCAACCUCAUAAGAGCUAUACUUUCUACACGGAGACUAGAUGCAUUGGGCAAAACUCAGAAUAGCCACUUAAAAACAUAGAACUAAAUACAAUUCAUGUCAGCUCACAUUUUAAACACUUAUAGUAUAUCAAGCUAAAUAUUCUGUAGUAAGGGCAUCUUUCCCCUCAAAGAGAUUUAAAAAAAUGUUUAAGGGAGGGAGGUCUGUCUGUGCAUGACUUUGUCAAAUAUUUCUUCAACUUUUUCUUUUCCCUACCCUUGAUUUGCAGCCUGAGAUGAAAUCAAAUGAACAGGUUUGCCUGUGUCCAUCAAUCCCUGUAUGAUUUCUUUAAAAAAAUGCCCUUUUCCACCCUUCAUUUGGGAAUUUGGCAAAUACGUGCAUAUUUGUUCUAAUUCUCCCCUGGAAUGUUUAGUUCGGCUUUACGCUUAUCAGGUUUGCUCUCCAGCAGGAGAGAGUGAAGAUUCCUCGAAAGCUCUGGGCCCCAAAUCAGAGGAUCUCGCCCCAAGGGGGACAUUUGGUCUGGAGAGAUGAUCAUGCGGGUUCUGCUGGCAUCUAGUGGGUGGAAGUCACAAAUGUUGCUGUCCUUUCUGCAGUGCACUGUGUGGUCUUCACCCACAAAGGAACUGUAGCUGGCACACGUGGACCGGUGGAGAGCGAUACUUUGCCAGUGUCUCUGGAUGCUCUCUUGUGAAGCAUGUCUGUGAUUAGACACAUUUGCAGAAUCCGAAUUUGGUGCAACUAGAAAAUGGCACUCUUCACUCUUUGUUUACAAGCCCUGCCAGCCAAAACUUGAGAGUUUAAAGCUGUAGCUCCAGAAAACCCUGCACAUAAUCACCUUCUUUAUGACCCCACGUUGUAUCGGUACAAAUGCUCAUCUGUAUUUUAUCCAUGUGUAAGCAUCUCCAGUGAAAGACACCUGCCACUCUGGAUUCUGCCCUACCCCUUUUUCUUUGUCGUCUUUCUGCCCAGAAGUGCUGCUUGCUUGUACGGUCAGAGGUUGAUGAAAUUCAAGCGGUAUUGACUAGCUCCUAAGUACAGGUCAUUAGGCCAGGCCGCCAGGGAAUAUAAUAUGGAAAACAAAUGCCCCUUGCUAAGCAACCGCGAUCUAGUUAGAGGAGGAAAGAGAUGCACGCAAUGAUCUGCAUGCAGUGUGCCGUUAGAAGAGACUUCCGCAAGGCACAGGGUUUUGAUGGUGUGCCUGGAGCAGAGCCCGCCUCCAGCUGUGCAUUGAACCUCACAUUAUUAAGCCAGACCUCAGGGUCCUAUGGUCACUGUUAGACAAGUGGGUCAGCUUCUGGGUGCUGUGCCUAUGGAGAGCUCUGUAAGUAACAAGUUGUACGUGAUAGCUCCCCCUGUGUUCCUCAUUCUGAAAGUCCUGGAGACACUAAAGCACCUUGUGUGUGGGUGGCUUCAGUGACAUGCAAGACAUCACUUAGUCUUGCUCUUAACUCCAUAACUCUGUUUUAAAUGGGACCUGAGAUUUUGAGUUCUUUGACACAAGUGUGUGGAUUUCUGGUGGAUUUCAUUUUAACUAAACCGUCCUACCCCAAAAAAGGACCACCCCUUUUUAAAACAGCACUGUCUAUCUCCUAAGUGCUUGGCUUAGUAAUUUCAUCUCUGUGUAUGUUAUAUAGAUCUGCAUAAAAUGUAAAUGAUAAAGUAGCAUUGCGUUUGCAGUAGUCAGCUUAAGAAACAGACAUCAGGAAUUCAUGUGAAAGCCCCCCAUGUGUCCCUUCUCUUCCCUUUGCAUGGUCCUCCCUUGACUAGAGACGGCAUCUUAAGGGUCAAAUUUCAUGAGUGAUGCUAAGUCAAGAUUUCCAGCUUCCCUGGUAUUAAAUGAUUUCAGCCAAGAGUUGCCAGUUUGGGUUGAAGGAGGACAAAUUUUAACCUCUUAUUCAUUUACUUUUUUCCCAGUAUGAAAUGAUUACCAUUCUAUUUAAAAAUAAUUUGGGGUAGAUGUUUCUCUUAUUUCUUAUAGAUUUGAAAAUAAACAUUUGCAGGCUGUUCUGCGUAUUUCACUCUUGUCCAAAUGCUGGCGGAAAAAGCAACCAAGUUGGACAGACUCCUGAAAGCCCAGGCCCGGGAGUGGUCCAGAGAGCCUUGACAAAUGGACAUUCAGUCCCUUGUUCUCCUGCUGCUUUGCACAGACCCCUCAGAACAAGUCAUGCAAUCUAUUUAAGUGUCCUUCCUCGACAAAAAGGAGAAUCCAGUAUUUUUUUUCUAAAAGGAUUUAAUUUAGAGACACAGGAAAGAUGGGGCGGAGGAAAUAAUAAGUAGGAAAUUUGCUGGUGGUGGAUGAACAUCCAGGAACGCAGAAGGGCGAUUGGAAGACGUGGAAUACUUUGCUUUCUGUGGGACCUGGGCAGUUGGCUCUGCAGUUAAAAGACGCCCAUGCAGCUGUCAAGAGGGACCUGCUCUUGCGGAAGACUCGAGUGUAGCUCCCAGUUACCGACAUUUGGGCAUCUUGCAAAUACCUGUACGCCAGCUCCAAGGCACCCAAUCCUUCUGGCCUCUGCAGGGCUCCUAUAUUCAUGUGUACAACCCAUCCCAGACUCACACAGUGUACAUCAUCAAAACUAAAAUAGAUCACUUCUAAAUACUUGCUCUUUUAGAGAAAAAGACGAUUGUCCCACUUUCAGAUUACAAGAAGGAGAAGGAGGAGCCAAUGAUGCACGGAUGGAUGGAUGGUUGGCUAGAUGGGUGAGUGAGUGGCGAUGAUGGAUGGAUGGAUGGAUAGAUUGUUGGAUGAAUGGGUGGAUCAAUGGAUGGGUAGAUGGUUGGGCAGGUGGAUGGGAUGUGUGGAUAGGUGGAUGGAUGGAUGAAUAUGUGGAUAGAUGGAUGGAUGAUGGAUGGAUGAUGAAUAGAUGAUGGAUAGAUGGAUAGAUCAGUUGGUGAAUAGGUGAGAGGGUAGACGAAUGAAUAGGUAGUUGGAUGGAUGGAUGAGCAGAUGGGAUGGGUGGAUGGAUGGAUGGAUGGGUGGAUGGAUGGAUGGAUGGGUAGGAGAGAGUCAUGAACAGAGGGUGUUACUGACCUGUUAAAACUAUGUGUGUAGGAUUAUGGACAUCCUUUUGCAGAUAGAAAACACUUAUUUCUAUCUAUGAAACAAGUUGGGGCAAACUCAACUGUUCUACAAAGUCCGUCUCGUUUUCCUCCUACUUCAGUGAUAUUUUGUUUUUCCUUAUGAGGGAGACAUCUAGAAUUUUGAGGAAAAAAAAAAGAAGCAUUUUAAUUUUUAAAAACUAUCUUUUAUCAGAACUUUCAUUUAAGUAAACCUCAACUCUGUGAAACGUUAAACAUAUAUUCCAGAAUGUAUUCCUACCACUGUCUGUUGGUAAAACUGGGUUAGAAAUGACAAACUUUUCAGAGUAGACUCCGAGCCCCAGACUUCCGACAUGCUUCUUUGAGCUAAAACACUGAAAGCCCAAUUUGUAACUUGCUGUUGGGUCUAUAACUCGUAGUUUCCGGAUCCAGAUGUUUAAUUAUUCUCUUUCUCAUUGAACAUAACAGAUCAUUACGUUUAACUGGAAAAUUAACUGUAGUUCUGGGAUAGCUAUGCACAAUACAGUUUCUUGGUCACUAACUUUUUAAGGGAGCAUUUAAAUUCUUUGGCACUCUAGGUCAAAUUGCAUCACAGCCAAUUUCGUGUUGGGUAAGAGAUCUCUACUGUUCUAAGAUGGAAACAGCUCUAGCCAAGACUAUACAUUUGAAGGAAUGUUUUACUGAUAAAAGUUCAAAACUACCAAACAGAAAUACUUUUAUGGAUUUGAUACAGACUAACAAGGAACUUGAUAAAGGCCGUCCUUUCCCAAAAUACUGCCAAUAGGCCUUGAGAAAUUAUUCUGCGAAGCACGCUCAUUUACUGAUAACUGAUCAUUGCGGAUGGCGUCAAGAACAUUUAUGAUCAGGUGACCAUAGUAAGUAUGGAGACGUGGAAAACUGUUAUCUGAUAUCUAGGAUAUAUGCAGAGAUGGUUUGUGCACUAAAAAUAUAGCAUAGCAUAUGUCCAUGCCACGGUUGGGUUGGGCAUAAGAGGGAAGCAGACUGGUAAUGCAGGAGAGGGUUUGCUGUCUCUAACAACUGUGGGGUGGCCCUUAUAAACAGGUCAGAUUUGACCCAGUGUCAGAGGGCAGGGGCCUAAAGAAAUAGGCCCUGUCUGUAAUGAGAGAACACUGCUUUUUGCUACCCGCCCUGAUCCUCCUCAGACUUCCUGUCUAGUCUAUUGCUCCUGCUCCACCACCUGGCCUCUCAGCUGCCCCUCUCAAGCAAGGAUGCCUUUAGUCUCCUCCUGCAGGGCACUUGGUUUAUCAUCUGCUUCGCUGCCUGGAAUGUGGCCCUCAGGGCCCCCGCUUUUCUCUCCCAGAGCUGUCAGGUGUCAUCUUGUCAGCUGUGGUUGCCCUGAAGACUUAAAUACACCCGCCUCAACCCCUUCUGCCUCUCCCUACCUUCCUCCCCCCACUUCUCAUAAAUUAUUAAUUUGUGAUAUUUACUGAUUGGUUGUCUCGCCUUUCUAGCAAUCAGCUUGCCAGGACAGGGAUGUGAUUAUCUUCCGAUCUGCUAUAUUCUUAGCAUCUAGAAUGGUGCAUGAUUUGUAAUCAAUCUUCAUAAAUAUUUGUUUAGUGAAGGCGUGUGUGAGUGAGUGACAGGCACGGAGCCUUAAACUUGAGAAGGAAUUCAAGGAGCACUAACUGAGUCUUAAUAGAAAAGAGGGUAAGGGGAAUGAAGCAAGCUGUCAAGGGAGUUGGCUCAAGCGGGUAGGGUCAGAUCUAAGCUUUGGAUUUUAUCAAAUAUAAUUAAAAGCAUUCCCUUUUUCUUGGACCUGGUCAGAUGCCAUCUGUCCCUCCAGCGCCUUUUCCUAGUCAGACUUCCCACUACUUUCCACAUGGCAUUCCAGGCUUCCCACUACCUUCUCUGUUUUAAUUUUCAGCAUUAACGCAUUCUGAAAAUCUGCUCACAAAAAUUCUGCUUCAGCUCUUGUGAAACUGCAGCACCCUGGGACUUCUUAGGGAUGUGAGACUACCCUGCCCUAUCAAUUCCUAGAAACAGAGUCCAGAAUGUAGUAUCUUUCUCUUCUGCUACAGUUAAGCCUUCAGGCUCCCUAAGCUCAUGGGUUUGUUUGUUUGUUUUGAAAAGGGAACCCUCCCUCUCCUGGAGGGUAAGUCCUAGAGGGUGGGGGGACUUGACAGUUGGAGAGAAAGGUGAAUUUUCCCAGACUGCCAACAGAUCUCACAAGCCCAGGUGCCCACCCCUGCUCCUCUCCUGUCCCUCCCCUGCCCUCCCCCCCACCCCCACCUCACUCAGCUGCCCUUUCCUUCUGAGUGGCUUUCCUGCCACUUUGUUGCAGCCCCCGCUUGUAAAAAGCAUAGAAGCCAUUUGCUCCUUUUGGAGCAAGCCACUCUACAGAUAGCUUACAUAAUUAAUGUGCCCCAGAAAGGCAUUUAAAUUAAUUAUGAAAUUGGCCCCCAAGCUGGAAUCCCCCGCCGGCAAGUGCCUAAGGUGUUUUCAGCUGGACUCUGGCAAUCUGACGUUCUUUUUUUUUUUUUUUUUCUCCUUGCCAUUAAGAUGUUGCAACCUAUGCCAAUUCACUUAAUGCCCCUGUAAAGCACCUAGAAGAUUCAUUAUUGAUCUGUGUUUUAUUCCUACUUCCAGCUCCGGGGUCUCAGGAAUCCUCACUACAGCCGCUCUGGGGUCAUCGUGGGAAAUGCUAGUGAGGCCCUGUGAGAUCUUCCAUAGGAAAUUGCUCGAUAGAAUUUGGUUACUUUUCUUCUCCCUCACAUUUCAGAGCAGAUACUUCACAGUCCCAAACACUGCUAAGUCACACAUUUGGUUAACUUUUAGAAUUGAAGGUCGUCUAGGACAAAAAUGAUUUACCCUUAGAACUAGACAGAGCCGUGCGUUCAGGAAACUAAUAACUCAUUUCAAAAUUCCGCCGUUACCAGGCUACCCCAAGUCGCAUUCUCCUUCAGAGACUCCCCCUUGAAGAGGAAUUACAGGCACCUACAUCUCUCCCAUUUAUAUUUCUUGCUACUUGAGACAAAAGAAGUUUGACCAGUUUUGUGGUUCAAAAGGAGUUUAUGUUCACAAGUGAACGUAGCGAGAUACUUACACAUUCUGUUUGGUUUAUACAGUAUUCUGCGUAGGUUUGCUGUACAGUAGUGUGCACGGCUGUUUUAUUAAUGAAGACACGUGAAAAGUGAUGUGGUUCCCAGAGUAUUUUUUUUUUUUUUAUGUUUUUUUGAGACAGAAACAGCUCUUUGUUUUUUUCUGUCUUGUGGGACCUCGGCUUUGAGUCCUGCGCCAAAGUGCUCAUCUCUGUAAAACUAUUUUACUUUCUCAGGCAAAGGGGAAUGCAGGCCGUAAAACUCUCCCUUUUCCAAACAACCCCAUUAUACAAGUCUCUCGCCUUCGUUCGUCAAAAUCCAAAAAGCUGCAGAAAAUUUCAUAUUAUGUUUCCCUUUGGUUUUCUGCUGCACGCAAGCAGAUGGCCAGCAGAUGGCGCUGCAGGUCACGGGAUGGUAGGACUCCUGUUGGAACCGUGGCUGGGUCCAUUUCUAGCAUGCACAAUUUUAAAAUUAAUCUUUUUUUUUUAAAGUUAGCGUACAAAUGAUUGGGUCCCAUGAUGGCACUGUGGUAUGUGCGUCCCACUGCUUUGUUCUAAUUUGCUUAUUCUGUCGUGAACGGUUCCAAACGGCCAUUCCGCUGACAUGGCAGUGGAGGAGCUAACGGAUGCUUGCUUCGGAGAUAAGAAGCGCUUACUCCUGGUGGUUUAUACGUCUGUAUCAUAAGCCCGAAUGCCAUUAUGUAUCAUUACUAUCCUAGACAUGUAUCACGCUGAUGAUGGGUCCUCAAGGAGCUUUUAAUUUUUGUGACUAUUAGUGGUGAAGCUCACUUCACCACUAAUAACCCAUCCUACUAACACACAAACAUAUUAGCAAAACAUCUCCACGGGAGUUUUAUCACCCGUGCCCUGUGUCUUUGUGUUAAAGAGAGGGUGUGGAUGGGCACUGAAUAAAAUAACCCCCCCCCCCAAACCAACACAAACUGCCCAUGUACGGAUAGCACCUUAUGUAAUACUGCAGUAACAACACUUGGCUACACAGGGUGUGGGCCUAGCAGCGUGCAUGUGCCAGAUGCUUUGCAGAACGCCAGCAUCCCGAGACCCAGCCUGGGUGUCACUCAUCAGAACCUGUGCUCGGCCUUCAACGGCUGAGCUUCCUCAUAUGCGGCCUGCAAGGAGCUUGGACCUUUUCAGGUCUGUCCUGAGGACUGCUGCAGUAGCCCUUUCUUCCUACAAGGAAAGUGUUUUCAGUCAGAGGUCGUCCCCCCCCCCACCAUUGUUGCUUAUCAUUCACAGAGUAUAUAUACAUCUGGAACUUUGAGUAAGUGGCUCAGAAACGGAGACCCGCGCAGUCGGCAGAGAUGAGCACAUUUCCCGUGGUACCGAGUUCUACAAUAACGGAACAACCUGUGUGUCUGUCAUGACUUGUGCUGGGAUUUUUCAGAAAAGUGUCAGAAAUACUUAUUCUAGUCUUUGAAGCUGUCUGGUUAUAUCUCUAGGCAGUUUGAUGCUUUUAAUGUUCUAGAAUCUUUUUAAAAAUUGGUUUUCCUUCUAGUUAAAAUUCCAGCUUAGAUGGAAGAGGGGCCUGUGAAGCCCCACACACUGCUGGCCCAGAGUAUUGGCUGUUGAAGAUUAGCCCAUUUUAGGAUACCCAUGUUCUACUGGAUGGCCCUACACCCAUGCACACAAGGGCACAUGAAUGGUGUCUAUACCAAUAACCCACCAAUACUAGGUCGUCUCAUUUUAUAAAAAUAUCUCCUUGUAAAAAAUAUAACCUACCUAACACCAUUUCCAUAUAGCCUAAAACAAAGGAGACAAACCAUUCCUGUAAG